rnacentral:rRNA from 1 species
GACGAACGCUGGCGGCGUGCUUAACACAUGCAAGUCGAGCGGUAAGGCCCUUUCGGGGGUACACGAGCGGCGAACGGGUGAGUAACACGUGGGUGAUCUGCCCUGCACUUCGGGAUAAGCCUGGGAAACUGGGUCUAAUACCGGAUAUGACCACUGAUCGCAUGGUUGGUGGUGGAAAGGUUUACUGGUGCAGGAUGGGCCCGCGGCCUAUCAGCUUGUUGGUGGGGUAAUGGCCUACCAAGGCGACGACGGGUAGCCGACCUGAGAGGGUGUACGGCCACCCUGGGACUGAGACACGGCACAGACUCCUACGGGAGGCAGCAGUGGGGAAUAUUGCACAAUGGGCGAAAGCCUGAUGCAGCGACGCCGCGUGAGGGAUGCCGGCCUUCGGGUUGUACACCUCUUUCAGCAGGGACGAAGCGCAAGUGACGGUACCUGCAGAAGAAGCACCGGCCAACUACGUGCCAGCAGCCGCGGUAA